GUCUACAGCCAUGCCACCCUGAACAUGCCCCAUCUCAUCUGAUCUUGGAAGCUGAGCAGGGUUAAGCCUGGUUAGUAUUUGGAUAGGAAUCCACCUUGGAAUACCAGGUGCUGUAGGUG
rnacentral:rRNA from 1 species